AUUGAACGCUGGCGGCAUGCCUUACACAUGCAAGUCGAACGGUAACAGGUUAAGCUGACGAGUGGCGAACGGGUGAGUAAUGUAUCGGAACGUGCCCAGUUGUGGGGGAUAACUGCUCGAAAGAGCAGCUAAUACCGCAUACGACCUGAGGGUGAAAGCGGGGGAUCGCAAGACCUCGCGCAAUUGGAGCGGCCGAUAUCAGAUUAGGUAGUUGGUGGGGUAAAGGCCUACCAAGCCUACGAUCUGUAGCUGGUCUGAGAGGACGACCAGCCACACUGGGACUGAGACACGGCCCAGACUCCUACGGGAGGCAGCAGUGGGGAAUUUUGGACAAUGGGCGCAAGCCUGAUCCAGCCAUGCCGCGUGCGGGAAGAAGGCCUUCGGGUUGUAAACCGCUUUUGUCAGGGAAGAAAAGGUUCUGGCUAAUACCUGGGACUCAUGACGGUACCUGAAGAAUAAGCACCGGCUAACUACGUGCCAGCAGCCGCCGUAACAC
rnacentral:rRNA from 1 species